rnacentral:rRNA from 1 species
GAUUUUCCUGAUAGCGGCCGCAGAGUUUGAUCCUGGCUCAGGAUGAACGCUGGCGGCGUGCUUAACACAUGCAAGUCGAACGGUGAAGGAGGAGCUUGCUCCUCUGGAUCAAGUGGCCGAACGGGUGAGUAACACGUGAGCAAUCUGGCCCCGGUCUCUGGGAUAGGGUUGGAACCACCUCUAUACCGGAUACCACCCGAAGCUUGGCCUGGAAACUUCGGGCCCGGGAUUAACCUCCGGC